rnacentral:rRNA from 1 species
CCAACAGGGAUUGCCUUAGUAACGGCGAGUGAAGCGGCAAGAGCUCAAAUUUGAAAUCUAGCACUUUCAGUGUUCGAGUUGUAAUUUGAAGAAGGUAUCUUUGGAGUUGGCCCCUGUCUAUGUUCCUUGGAACAGGACGUCACAGAGGGUGAGAAUCCCGUGCGAUGGGGAGACCAAUUCUUUGUAAAGUUCCUUCGAAGAGUCGAGUUGUUUGGGAAUGCAGCUCUAAGUGGGUGGUAAAUUCCAUCUAAAGCUAAAUAUUGGCGAGAGACCGAUAGCGAACAAGUACAGUGAUGGAAAGAUGAAAAGAACUUUGAAAAGAGAGUGAAAAAGUACGUGAAAUUGUUGAAAGGGAAGGGCUUUUGAUCAGACUUGGUGUUUAACGAUCUCUUCUCCUUGUGGGAGGGGCUCUUGUUUUAUACUGGGCCAGCAUCGGUUUGGAUGGCAGGAUAAUGACAUUGGAACGUGGCUUCAUUCGUGAAGUGUUAUAGCCUUUGUUGAUACUGCCUAUCUAGACCGAGGACUGCGUCUUUGACUAGGA